rnacentral:rRNA from 1 species
AUUUUAACAUUAAUUAAUUUAUAAUAUUAAAAAUAUUUAUAAAUUAAAUUUGUUUUAGUAUUUUUAAAGAAAGAAUAAUUUUAAUAAUAGAUUAUUAGUAUUGUAAAAGAAUAUUGAAAUAUAUUGAAAAAUUAUUUUUUAAAAAGAAAAUUUUAAUUAUUGUACCUUGUGUAUCAGGGUUUAUUUAUUAAAAUUUAAUUAUAAUAAAUUUCUCGAUUUUAAAAGAGUUAAUAUAUUAAAGAAUUUAAUGUAAUAAAAUUAUUUUUUAUAGUAUAUUUGAAAUGAAAUGUUAUUCGUUUUUAAAGGUAUCUAGUUUUUUAAGAAAUAAAUUUAAUUUAGAAAUUUUUUAGUUAUUAAUUUAAUUUAUUAAUUUAAUAAUUUUUUAAAUUUUAAUAUUUUAUGGGAUAAGCUAUAGAAUAAAUUUUUAUAAAUUAUUAAAUAUAAGAUAAAAAUUUAAGCUUAGAAUUAGUUAUUAUUAAUAAAAGUGUUAUAAUUUAUUUUAAUUAUAUAGUAUUUAGUUUAUUUUAAUAUAUUAUUAAGAUUUUUAUUUUAUUUUUAAAAAUAUAUAAAUAAUGAUAAAAUUAGUAUAUAAAUAUAUUGUAUAAUAUUAUUUAAUAGAAAAGUUUUUUUAAGGAAUUAGGCAAAAAUAAUUUUCGCCUGUUUAACAAAAACAUGUCUUUUUGAUUUAAUAAAAAGUCUAACCUGCCCACUGAAUAUUUUUUAAAUGGCCGCAGUAUUUUAACUGUGCAAAGGUAGCAUAAUCAUUAGUUUUUUAAUUGAGGACUGGUAUGAAUGGUUGGACGAGAAAUUAACUGUUUCAUUUAUAUUUAUUAUAGAAUUUUAUUUUUUAGUUAAAAAGCUAAAAUUUUUAUAAAAGACGAGAAGACCCUAUAAAUCUUUAUAUUUAUAAUUUUAUUAUUUUGUAGAUUUAUUUUAUAAUUAUAUUAUAUCAUAUUUUAUUGGGGUGAUAUUAAAAUUAGAUAAACUUUUAAUUAUAAAUUAAAUCAUUAAUUUAUGUUUUGUUGAUCCAAUUUUAUUGAUUAUUAGUAUAAGUUACUUUAGGGAUAACAGCGUUAUUUUUUUGGAGAGUUCAUAUUAAUAAAAAAUAUUGCGACCUCGAUGUUGGAUUAAGAUAAAUUUUAGGUGUAGAAGCUUAAAUUUUAAGUCUGUUCGACUUUUAAAUUCUUACAUGAUCUGAGUUCAAACCGGUGUAAGCCAGGUUGGUUUCUAUCUUUAUAUUAAUAAAUUAUUUUAGUACGAAAGGAUUAAAUAGUUAAUAAAUUAUUAUUUUUUUAAUAGAAUUUAAU